GUAGUCCACGCCGUAAACGAUGGGUGCUAGCCGUUGGGACCAUAGGUCUCAGUGGCGUAGCUAACGCGUUAAGCACCCCGCCUGGGGAGUACGGUCGCAAGAUUAAAACUCAAAGGAAUUGACGGGGACCCGCACAAGCGGUGGAGCAUGUGGUUUAAUUCGAGGCAACGCGAAGAACCUUACCAGGCCUUGACAUGCCGGUCGCGGAUUUCAGAGAUGAUUUCCUUCAGCUUGGCUGGACCGUGCACAGGUGCUGCAUGGCUGUCGUCAGCUCGUGUCGUGAGAUGUUGGGUUAAGUCCCGCAACGAGCGCAACCCUCGUCCUUAGUUGCCAUCAGUUCGGCUGGGAACUCUAAGGAAACUGCCGGUGAUAAACCGGA
rnacentral:rRNA from 1 species